CCCUUAGAUGUUCUGGACUGCACGCGCGCUACACUGAAGCUAUCAACACGUUUUCCCUCCCUGGGAAGGGCGGGUAACCUUUUGAAUCAGCUUCGUGGUAGGGAUCGGGGCUUGCAAUUGUUCCCCGUGAACCAGGAAUUCCUAGUAGACGCGAGUCAUAAGCUCGCAUCGAUUAAGUCCCUGCCCUUUGUACACACCGCCCGUCGCUACUACCGAUUGAACGUUUUAGUGAGGCAUUUGGACCGACGCAUCUCAGUUUAACCGCUGGUUUGUGUUGGAAAGACUUCCAAACUUGAGCGUUUAGAGGAAGUAAAAGUCGUAACA
rnacentral:rRNA from 1 species